ACUCCUACGGGAGGCAGCAGUGGGAAUAUUGCACAAUGGGCGCAAGCCUGAUGCAGCAACGCCGCGUGCGGGAAGAAGGCCCUAGGGUUGUAAACUGCUUUUCAGCAGGGAAGAAAAUGACGGUACCUGCAGAAGAAGGUGCGGCCAACUACGUGCCAGCAGCCGCGGUGACACGUAGGCACCAAGCGUUGUCCGGAUUUUAUUGGGGCGUAAAGAGCUCGUAGGCGGUUCAGU
rnacentral:rRNA from 1 species